rnacentral:lncRNA from 1 species
GACAAUGGUGAUCUAUCUUGAGAGAGAUUCAAAGGGAGAAGGCUUAUGCGCUGACUGUGUGAUCAGAUCUGCAUAAAGAAGGUGCUUCUUGAUUGAUCAUUGAAGGCUUGACAUCCUGUGAAGACUGCUACGUUGUUUGAAGGCUUGGCAUCCUGUGAAGAGUGCUGAAAUUUACCUGUUGUGAUACAGGGGUUACACGUUGAGGAUUGUUCGACGUGGGUUCAGAUUGUAGAAGAGGGGAUUCUUGUUGCAAGUCUGGUUUGGUUAUUGUAGCUAUAUUUUGGUUUUGGGUUAGAAAGUUGAUUUAUAUUUUUGACAUAAAUUCCUUGUAAAAACCGCAACCUAUAUAGUGCAUUUGCUUUCUGGGUUGGAAGGACACUGGAUGUAGGCAUUGUUGGUCGAACCAGUAUAAAAACCAGUGUUUGAUUUUCUUUAUCCUUGCACUCUUUAUUUC